AAUCCGUGUUGUGGGCAUUUUCGUGAGGAGCUCCUUGAACCUUUCCCACGCCUCAAAUAGAGACUCCAAUUCCAUUGUACAAAGGGCGAGAUCUCAUUCCUUAGCUU